CCGGCGAUUUCCGAAUGGGGAAACCCAGUGUGUUUCGACACACUAUCAUUAACUGAAUCCAUAGGUUAAUGAGGCGAACCGGGGGAACUGAAACAUCUAAGUACCCCGAGGAAAAGAAAUCAACCGAGAUUCCCCCAGUAGCGGCGAGCGAACGGGGAGGAGCCCAGAGCCUGAAUCAGUGUGUGUGUUAGUGGAAGCGUCUGGAAAGGCGCGCGAUACAGGGUGACAGCCCCGUACACAAAAAUGCACAUACUGUGAGCUCGAUGAGUAGGGCGGGACACGUGGUAUCCUGUCUGAAUAUGGGGGGACCAUCCUCCAAGGCUAAAUACUCCUGACUGACCGAUAGUGAACCAGUACCGUGAGGGAAAGGCGAAAAGAACCCCGGCGAGGGGAGUGAAAAAGAACCUGAAACCGUGUACGUACAAGCAGUGGGAGCCUCUUUUAUGGGGUGACUGCGUACCUUUUGUAUAAUGGGUCAGCGACUUAUAUUCUGUAGCAAGGUUAACCGAAUAGGGGAGCCGAAGGGAAACCGAGUCUUAACUGGGCGUUAAGUUGCAGGGUAUAGACCCGAAACCCGGUGAUCUAGCCAUGGGCAGGUUGAAGGUUGGGUAACACUAACUGGAGGACCGAACCGACUAAUGUUGAAAAAUUAGCGGAUGACUUGUGGCUGGGGGUGAAAGGCCAAUCAAACCGGGAGAUAGCUGGUUCUCCCCGAAAGCUAUUUAGGUAGCGCCUCGUGAAUUCAUCUCCGGGGGUAGAGCACUGUUUCGGCAAGGGGGUCAUCCCGACUUACCAACCCGAUGCAAACUGCGAAUACCGGAGAAUGUUAUCACGGGAGACACACGGCGGGUGCUAACGUCCGUCGUGAAGAGGGAAACAACCCAGACCGCCAGCUAAGGUCCCAAAGUCAUGGUUAAGUGGGAAACGAUGUGGGAAGGCCCAGACAGCCAGGAUGUUGGCUUAGAAGCAGCCAUCAUUUAAAGAAAGCGUAAUAGCUCACUGGUCGAGUCGGCCUGCGCGGAAGAUGUAACGGGGCUAAACCAUGCACCGAAGCUGCGGCAGCGACGCUUAUGCGUUGUUGGGUAGGGGAGCGUUCUGUAAGCCUGCGAAGGUGUGCUGUGAGGCAUGCUGGAGGUAUCAGAAGUGCGAAUGCUGACAUAAGUAACGAUAAAGCGGGUGAAAAGCCCGCUCGCCGGAAGACCAAGGGUUCCUGUCCAACGUUAAUCGGGGCAGGGUGAGUCGACCCCUAAGGCGAGGCCGAAAGGCGUAGUCGAUGGGAAACAGGUUAAUAUUCCUGUACUUGGUGUUACUGCGAAGGGGGGACGGAGAAGGCUAUGUUGGCCGGGCGACGGUUGUCCCGGUUUAAGCGUGUAGGCUGGUUUUCCAGGCAAAUCCGGAAAAUCAAGGCUGAGGCGUGAUGACGAGGCACUACGGUGCUGAAGCAACAAAUGCCCUGCUUCCAGGAAAAGCCUCUAAGCAUCAGGUAACAUCAAAUCGUACCCCAAACCGACACAGGUGGUCAGGUAGAGAAU
rnacentral:rRNA from 1 species